rnacentral:rRNA from 1 species
UUCUCCUUCGGGAGGCCGCCGUAGGGAAUUUUCGGCAAUGGGCGAAAGUCUGACCGAGCAACGCCGCGUGAGUGAUGAAGGUUUUCGGAUUGUAAAACUUUGUUGUUAGAGAAGGACAAGGAUGAGAGUAGAACGUUCAUCCCUUGACGGUCUCUAACCAGAAAGCCACGUCGCUAACUACUUGCCAGCGCCCGCGGUAU